GCUUAACACAUGCAAGCCGAGGGAGAAGUUGUCUUCGGACAGCGGACACCGGCGGACGGGUGAGUAACAUGUACGCAACUUGCCCCUAUCAGUGAGAUAACCCGGGGAAACUCGGACUAAUAUCACAUAACAAACGAAAUAGCAUUAUUUUGUUUUAAAAGAUUUAUCGGAUAGGGAUAGGCAUGCGUAGGAUUAGUUAGUUGGUGAGGUAACGGCUCACCAAGACGAUGAUCCUUAGGGGGCCUGAGAGGGUGAUCCCCCACACUGGUACUGAGACACGGACCAGACUCCUACGGGAGGCAGCAGUGAGGAAUAUUGGACAAUGGGUGAGAGCCUGAUCCAGCCAUCCCGCGUGCAGGAAGACGGCCCUAUGGGUUGUAAACUGCUUUUAUACAGGAAUAAACCUACUCACGUGUGAGUAGUUGAAGGUACUGUAGGAAUAAGCAUCGGCUAACUCCGUGCCAGCAGCCGCGGUAAUACGGAGGAUGCAAGCGUUAUCCGGAUUUAUUGGGUUUAAAGGGUCCGUAGGCGGGCUAAUAAGUCAGUGGUGAAAUCAAGCAGCUUAACUGUUUAACUGCCAUUGAUACUGUUAGUCUUGAGUGAAUUUGAAGUUGCCGGAAUAUGUAGUGUAGCGGUGAAAUGCAUAGAUAUUACAUAGAACACCUAUUGCGAAGGCAGGUAACUAAGAUUUAACUGACGCUGAUGGACGAAAGCGUGGGGAGCGAACAGGAUUAGAUACCCUGGUAGUCCACGCCGUAAACGAUGAUUACUCGUUUUUGGUAUUUAAUAUCAGAGACCAAGCGAAAGUGAUAAGUAAUCCACCUGGGGAGUACGUUCGCAAGAAUGAAACUCAAAUGAAUUGACGG
rnacentral:rRNA from 1 species